rnacentral:lncRNA from 1 species
CCCAGGCAUUACAUGCUGGAAGUUCCAGGAUAUGAAUCCUCUGGCCGUUCACAUCCUCCUCCUGGAGGUUUCCUAAUUUAGGACUACAGGAUUACACAGAGAGUCUUAUCUCCAUCCCCCGCCCCCAGCUCCUUCCCUACAGCUUUAAUCCCCUGUUGUCACAGGCAGACAAUGCAGCUGAACCCUAUUACGCAGAAGGAACUGUCAGAUGGCGGAUUCUUAAUGGGCUUUGAAGUACCACAGAGAGCAUCCACUCUAAUUGAGGUUCUGCAGGAUCAUACACUGUAAUUCAGGAGAUAACCUUACACAUCUCCAUUCCUUUAUUGAUGGUCAGGAAGGAAAGCGAUGACUUAAAAUUGCUUGGAAAGAUUUCUGACAGCUCUAGAUUAAAAAGUGCCAGGUACUUCACUUUCCCUCCAAUGCAAUCUCCCAUCAACUAAACAAAGAUUAGGCAGAAUUUUGAAUUAUUAUCCUAUUAAAUAAAUAAUGACUAAAGCUCA